GAUGAACGCUGGCGGCGUGCCUAACACAUGCAAGUCGAGCGAACAGACAAUGAGAUUGUUCCUCUCUCGUUAGCGGCGGACGGGCGAGUAACGCGUGUAUCACCUUCUUAUAUUUCGGGGAUCAUUACGGGAAAACGGCUACUAUACCACAUCAUAUAAUGUACCGUAGAGUGCAAUAGAGAUUUACGGCUUUGGUGUCUGUACUAGCUGGUUUGGCGCGGCAUUAUCUAGUUGGUAAGGUGACGGCCUACCAAGGGUACGAUGCGUAGCCGAGCUGAGAGGGUGAUAGGCCACCCUGGAAGUGAGACACGGUCAAGACUCCUAAGGGAGGCAGCAGUAGGGAACGUUAGGCAACGGGCGGAAGCAUGACGGAGCAACGCCGCGUGAGUGAAGAAGGUCUUCGGAUCGUAAAGCCGUGUUGUUGGGGAAGAACAGCUGUGUAAGUAAAUAUGGCCGUUUUGACGGUACCUAAUAAAAAAGCAACGGCUAACUACGUG
rnacentral:rRNA from 1 species